rnacentral:rRNA from 1 species
CCUACGGGCGGCAGCAGUCGAGAAUCAUUCACAAUGGGGGAAACCCUGAUGGGGCGACGCCGCGUGGGGGAAUGAAGGGCUACGGAGUGUAAACCCCUGUCAUGUGGGAGCAAAUUAAAAAGAUAGGACCACAAGAGGAAGAGAAGGCUAACUCUGUGCCAGCAGCCGCGGUAAUACAGAGGUCUCAAGCGUGGUUCGGAAUCACUGGGCGUAAAGUGUGCGUAGGAUGUUUCGUAAGUCGUGUGUGAAAGGCGCGGGCUCAACCCGCGGACGGCACCUGAUACUGCGAGACUAGAGUAAUGGAGAGGGAACCGGAAUUCUCGGUGUAGCCGUGCAAUGCGUAGAUAUC